rnacentral:rRNA from 1 species
UACGGAGGGUGCCAGCGUUAUCCGGAAUUACUGGGCGUAAAGCGCACGUAGGCGGAUUUGUUAGUCAGGGGUGAAAUCCCGGGGCUCAACCUCGGAACUGCCUUUGAUACUGCAAGUCUUGAGUCCGGAAGAGGUGAGUGGAAUUCCUAGUGUAGAGGUGAAAUUCGUAGAUAUUAGGAGGAACACCAGUGGCGAAGGCGGCUCACUGGUCCGGUACUGACGCUGAGGUGCGAAAGCGUGGGGAGCAACCAGG